rnacentral:rRNA from 1 species
UUAGAGUUUGAUCCUGGCUCAGGAUGAACGCUAGCGGCAGGCUUAACACAUGCAAGUCGAGGGGCAGCGCGGGUGGCAACACCUGGCGGCGACCGGCGCAAGGGUGCGUAACGCGUGAGCAAUCUGCCCGUGUCAGGGGGAUAAGCGAUGGAAACGUCGUCUAAUACCGCAUAACAGCCAUGGGGGCAUCCCCGGGGCUUGAAAGAUUCGUCGGACACGGAUGAGCUCGCGAGGCAUUAGCUAGUUGGUGAGGUAACGGCUCACCAAGGCUGCGAUGUCUAGGGGGUCUGAGAGGAUGGUCCCCCACACUGGAACUGAGACACGGUCCAGACUCCUACGGGAGGCAGCAGUGAGGAAUAUUGGACAAUGGUCGGAAGACUGAUCCAGCCAUGCCGCGUGAAGGAUUAAGGUCCUAUGGAUUGUAAACUUCUUUUGUACGGGAGCAAUAAGCGCCACGGGUGGCGCGACGAGAGUACCGUACGAAUAAGCAUCGGCUAACUCCGUGCCAGCAGCCGCGGUAAUACGGAGGAUGCGAGCGUUAUCCGGAUUUAUUGGGUUUAAAGGGUGCGUAGGCGGCUUGGUAAGUCAGCGGUGAAACGCAGGGGCUCAACCCCGGAGCUGCUUUGGAAACUGCUGAGCUAGAGUGUGGGAGAGGAAAGCGGAACUUUGAGUGUAGCGGUGAAAUGCGUAGAGAUUAGGAAGAACACCGGUGGCGAAGGCGACUUUCUGGACUGUAACUGACGCUGAGGCUCGAAAGCGUGGGGAGCGAACAGGAUUAGAUACCCUGGUAGUCCACGCCGUAAACGAUGAUGACUAACCGUCGGCGAUACACAGUCGGUGGCCAAGCGAAAGCGAUAAGUCAUCCACCUGGGGAGUACGACCGCAAGGUUGAAACUCAAAGGAAUUGACGGGGGCCCGCACAAGCGGAGGAACAUGUGGUUUAAUUCGAUGAUACGCGAGGAACCUUACCCGGGCUCGAACGGCUGGUGAAGAGAUCCAGAGAUGGUGACGUCCUUCGGGACACCAGUCGAGGUGCUGCAUGGUUGUCGUCAGCUCGUGUCGUGAGAUGUUGGCUCAAGUGCCAUAACGAGCGCAACCCUUGCUGCCAGUUACCAGCGCGUAAAGGCGGGGACUCUGGCGGGACUGCCACCGUAAGGUGUGAGGAAGGCGGGGAUGACGUCAAAUCAGCACGGCCCUUACGUCCGGGGCGACACACGUGUUACAAUGACAGCUACAGAGGGAAGCUACCUGGCGACAGGAUGCAGAUCUCGAAAAGCUGCCUCAGUUCGGACUGGAGUCUGCAACCCGACUCCACGAAGCUGGAUUCGCUAGUAAUCGCGCAUCAGCCAUGGCGCGGUGAAUACGUUCCCGGGCCUUGUACUCACCGCCCGUCAAG